rnacentral:rRNA from 1 species
GACGAACGCUGGCGGCGUGCUUAACACAUGCAAGUCGAACGGUAAGGCCCUUCGGGGUACACGAGUGGCGAACGGGUGAGUAACACGUGGGUGAUCUGCCCUGCACUUCGGGAUAAGCCUGGGAAACUGGGUCUAAUACCGGAUAGGACCACUGCCUGCAUGGGGGGUGGUGGAAAGCUUUUGCGGUGUGGGAUGGGCCCGCGGCCUAUCAGCUUGGUGGUGGGGUGAUGGCCUACCAAGGCGACGACGGGUAGCCGGCCUGAGAGGGUGACCGGCCACACUGGGACUGAGAUACGGCCCAGACUCCUACGGGAGGCAGCAGUGGGGAAUAUUGCACAAUGGGCGCAAGCCUGAUGCAGCGACGCCGCGUGAGGGAUGACGGCCUUCGGGUUGUAAACCUCUUUCAGCACCGACGAAGCGCAAGUGACGGUAGGUGCAGAAGAAGGACCGGCCAACUACGUGCCAGCCGCCGCGGUAA